ACAGAGGUGGCGAGCGUUGUUCGGAUUUACUGGGCGUAAAGGGUGCGUAGGUGGUUUUGUGUGUCGAAUGUGAAAGCCCACCGCUUAACGGUGGAAGGUCAUUCGAAACUACAGGACUAGAGUACAGGAGAGGAGAGCGGAAUUCUUGGAGUAGCGGUGAAAUGCGUUGAUAUCAAGAAGAACACCGGUGGCGAAGGCGGCUCUCUGGAAUGAUACUGACACUGAGGCACGAAAGCUGGGGGAGCAAACAGG
rnacentral:rRNA from 1 species